GUGGGGAAUAUUGCACAAUGGGCGCAAGCCUGAUGCAGCGACGCCGCGUGGGGGAUGACGGCCUUCGGGUUGUAAACUCCUUUCGCUAGGGACGAAGCGUAUUUGUGACGGUACCUGGAGAAGAAGCACCGGCUAACUACGUGCCAGCAGCCGCGGUAAUACGUAGGGUGCGAGCGUUGUCCGGAAUUACUGGGCGUAAAGAGCUCGUAGGUGGUUUGUCGCGUCGUUUGUGUAAGCCCGCAGCUUAACUGCGGGACUGCAGGCGAUACGGGCAUAACUUGAGUGCUGUAGGGGAGACUGGAAUUCCUGGUGUAGCGGUGGAAUGCGCAGAUAUCAGGAGGAACACCGAUGGCGAAGGCAGGUCUCUGGGCAGUAACUGACGCUGAGGAGCGAAAGCAUGGGUAGCGAACAGGAUUAGAAACCCUAGUAGUCC
rnacentral:rRNA from 2 species